rnacentral:sRNA from 1 species
GCCAGGCAUGGCGGUGCAUGCCUUUAAUCCCAGAGGCUUAGGAGGCUGAGGCAGGAGGAUCGUGAGUUCAAAGCCAGCCUCAG